UUCUGGCCCAUCGUUAUUCUCUUCCAAGCGCGAAUUGCGUUUCCGCUUCCUUCGCCGGCGAGAUGACCUCCCGCUGUUCCGCACCGGCGAACGGCGGCGGACCCGUCUCUGGAGACCUGCGCAGCCGCACGCAGGACCAGCAGAGCGCCUAUAUGGGUUAGGUACUCUCUUCAGUGCUGUUGCCUGUUGUGGCCAAUUUGGGUCCCCAAGCAGCAUGAUAAACUUUUCUCGUUUUCAUUUCAUCUUCAUCAACUGUUUCAUUGACCAAAAUGUGGUGCUCACGUGUGCAUGAACCGAUUCAAUUAAUUUGCCCUUGUUUCUUCUGCUUUAGUUGACCUCGGGUGUCGGCUGACAUUUUUCAGUGUACGGUAUCUAUUUAUCUAUUCAAGAUGGUGAAAAUCGAAGCAACCCUGUCCACUUGAGAGGCUGAUA